UGUAAAACUAAGAUGGAGAAAAAAAUGUUCGUUUUGUUAAUCGAAGAGAGUCGGCGUUAGGUGAAAGCUGAUAUUAGCAUGAAUAUAUAAUGAUCACUCCGGAGUUUCCAAGUUGAAAGAUUUUUAUCAAGUAGAUAAGGACGUUUACCAGCGAUAUAUGGUUAGGAUUAACAGUGAAUUUUUUAUUUCAUUAAGAUCCGAUUUGAGAGGCGGUUAAUGUAAUAACCGCAAAAAAGGUGGUACCACGGAAGUUAAUCUUUCGUCCUUAUG
rnacentral:ncRNA from 1 species